GCUAAACUGCUAGCCUAACAAGUUGACCAAAUAACAACUAUAAAUAACUAACUAAGACCAAACAACACAAAAUAAACCAUUCACUAAUCAGAGUAUGGGCGACAGAAAACGAACCUAUAGCGCCAUAGAAAAAGUACCGCAAGGGAAAGCUGAAAAAGAAAUGAAAAACCAAUUUAAGCCCAACAAAGUAGAGAUAUAAACUCGUACCUUUUGCAUCAUGGUCUAGCAAGUCAACCUGGGCAAAGAGUGCUUAAGUCCAACCCCCCGAAACUAGGCGAGCUACUUCGAGACAGCUUAAAUAUAGAGCCAACCGGUCCCUGUGGCAAAAGGUGUGGGAAGAUCUCCAAGUAGGGGUGACAGACCUAACGAGCCUAGUUAUAGCUGGUUGCUCGGGAAAUGAAUAUUAGUUCAACUUUAAAACCCUCCACUUACUAAACAAGUAACAACUAACCAUCAAACUAAGUAGUAAGUUUUAAAAUAUAUUUAAAAGAGGGACAGCUCUUUUAAACGAGGACACAACCUUAAAAAUUGGGUAAAGAUCAUACUAAAAGAAGAAUCGCGCUAAAGUGGGCCUAAAAGCAGCCACCGUAAAAGAAAGCGUUACAGCUCAAGUACAUAACUUCUACAAAUAAUGAUACUCAAUCUCAACCCGCAAAAACUACUGAGCUAACUUAUAAAAAUAUAAGUGCAAUAAUGCUAGAAUUAGUAACAAGAAGAAGCCCUUCUCCGAGCAUAGGUGUAAAUCAAAACGGACUACCCAUUGAUAAUUAACGACCCCACGAAGGAAGUAUAACGACUCAUAAAACACAAGAAAACCAAAUCAAAACAAUCGUUAACACCACACAGUAAUGCAACCAAGGAAAGGUUAAACAAUGAGGAAGGAACUCGGCAAACACAAACCCCGCCUGUUUACCAAAAACAUCGCCUCUUGCAAAUAUCAGACGUAUUAGAGGUCCCGCCUGCCCUGUGACAAUAGUUCAACGGCCGCGGUAUUUUGACCGUGCGAAGGUAGCGUAAUCACUUGUCUUUUAAAUAAAGACCUGUAUGAAUGGCAACACGAGGGUUCAACUGUCUCCCCCAUUUUACCAGUGAAAUUGAUCUGCCCGUGCAGAAGCGGGCAUAAAACCAUAAGACGAGAAGACCCUAUGGAGCUUAAAAUUACUAAUGCUAACUGCGUAAGAAAGCUAUACUGCUUUUAAAGCUAAAAACAUAGCAAACAUAGCAUUAACUUUUUGGUUGGGGCGACCGCGGAGAAAAAAAAAUCCUCCGCAACUAAACAGGGUAUUACCCUGAAAUAAGGGCGACAGCCCAAAAUAACAGAACAUCUGACAUAAAGAUCCAGAUAUUUCUGAUCAACGAACCAAGUUACCCUAGGGAUAACAGCGCAAUCCUUUCUAAGAGUCCAUAUCGACGAAAGGGCUUACGACCUCGAUGUUGGAUCAGGACAUCCUAGUGGUGCAGCCGCUACUAAGGGUUUGUUUGUUCAACAAUUAAUAGUCCUACGUGAUCUGAGUUCAGACCGGAGCAAUCCAGGUCAGUUUCUAUCUAUGUUCAAACCUAUUUUUCUAGUACGAAAGGACCGAAAAGUAUAGGCCAAUGCCAAACUAUGCCUCACCCACACCCAAUGAAAUUAACUAAAAUAACAUAAUGGGGGAACUAUCUGACCCAAGACAAGGUUAA
rnacentral:rRNA from 1 species